UAGCCAUAUCAUGUUGAAACAUUGGUUCCCAUAUGAUCAACAAAGUUAAGCAAUGUCAAACCUGGUCAGUACAAAGAUGGGUGACCACAUGGGAAUACCAGGUACCGUAAG